rnacentral:lncRNA from 1 species
GAGUACAUGAAUUGGUCACUACCUCCUCCUUUGCCUUUCUGACAGCCACGAGCAUUCUCUUCCCAUGUCCGCAAUCGUCCGAUCGCCUCCGUUAUGGUCAUGUCGUCGAUGUCGUAAAGCUGCUCGAGCGUGCUGAUGAUGUACGUGAAUUUAUCAGUCACUGAACUGAAAAACUUCUCCACGUUCUCGGUCUCAUCGAGCUUUGCACCAAGCGCGCGGAUCUCUCC